UGAGGAAUAUUGGUCAAUGGGCGAGAGCCUGAACCAGCCAAGUAGCGUGCAGGAUGACGGCCCUAUGGGUUGUAAACUGCUUUUAUAUGGGGAUAAAGUGGGGAACGUGUUCCCUUUUGCAGGUACCAUAUGAAUAAGGACCGGCUAAUUCCGUGCCAGCAGCCGCGGUAAUACGGAAGGUUCGGGCGUUAUCCGGAUUAAUUGGGUUUAAAGGGAGCGUAGGCCGUUUGGUAAGCGUGUUGUGAAAUGUAGGAGCUCAACUUCUAGAUUGCAGCGCGAACUGUCAGACUUGAGUGCGCACAACGUAGGCGGAAUUCAUGGUGUAGCGGUGAAAUGCUUAGAUAUCAUGAAGAACUCCGAUUGCGAAGGCAGCUUACGGGAGCGCAACUGACGCUGAAGCUCGAAGGUGCGGGUAUCGAACAGG
rnacentral:rRNA from 1 species